AGCUUCAGGUGUUGGGUUCUCAACCAUUUUAAGCAAACCCCCUGUAAGUGCUUUUUAUAUUUAUAAUUAUUAACAUGCCUUUUAAUAGUUCAGAUACUAUAACGUAGCAAUCUAAUGGCAGGUGUAGGGAGAGGCAAGACCCAGCUGCGCUGCCCUGCUUUGGAACGGCCGUGUGGGUGUCACCCGAGGGUACGCGGGGGCAACCUCUGCGCUGUGCUGAAAGUAAAGGCCCCUGGUAACCAGCCGCGUCCCCGUGUGGUGAUUUCGGACGGAGCGAAGCGGGGCCUCCUUCCCGCCGCGUCCCGGCUCGCUCUGAGGGGCCGCUGCUCGCGCGCCGCCCGCCGGGCGGCCAUUGGCUCGCCGGCCUGGGGCCGCUUUGUGCCGCCCCUCGCCAUUGGCCGCGCCCUCGCGUGUCGCCGUAAGCGCGGCGGCCAUUGGCGGAGGCGCGGCAUGGCGGACGCGGGCGGCUCGUGGCGGCCGCCGCGGCCGUGCGAGGACUACUGGGGGGAGUGGAAGCACUGCCGCGGGCUGCGCCACGCCUUCCACCACUACUACGCGCACGGGGAGCUGCCGGCCUGCGGGCGCUGGCGGGAGGACUACGAGGCCUGCCGGGCCUGGGAGCGGCACCGCGCCGCCGCCGCGCAGGAAAAGCUGCGACGUUACAGGCAAAACGUGUGCCUGCGGUGUCCAGAAACGCCUCUGGCUACAGCCCCACGGACGCUGGAGGACUCGGGCCCUGCAGCAAAGGCUACAGCGUAACUCGUCCCUGCAGCCGGGCGGGAAAGCCCUUGGCGGGGAGGGUUGCACAGAACUGGAAGCUUUGUGCAAGAGUGAAAGAGCUCGAGUGAUGGAAAGCCAGAAGUAUGCUCCGGUGUGGACACUGAGGAAGAGCCCCCCACCAGACUGGUAUCUACCCCUUGACCAGGAC